UCAGACGAAGAAAAUGAUGUUCUGCUCGUCUAUACCGACUUACCUGGUGACACUCCGUCCUCCAACUACACUGGGGGGAACACUGUGAUCUGAAUAUUUUGGGUGACCCUGGUCCCUCGAGCUCAGCUGAAGAAGUCCUUAUGUAUUGAGGUACCUCAUCCACUACAGUGCCCUUCAAGUUCAUCAGACAUUGGUGCUCCUGGUACAGUACUGUUACCUGCUCUAAAACUGAUUUGUUGUAUUAGGAAGGGAAGAGCAUGUUGAGGCACGAAAUUGUUUAGCUUAAUUUGUGUUGUUGUUGUAUCCAAUUUUCCAUCUGGGGAAUGCAUUCUGAUUGAAGCAUCAAAAUAAAGAAUAAUGUUCUUUUGCAUAGCACAUGUCUUCAACAAGAUCACCUGCAACAGACACCCUCGCAUUGCUCUAAUAUAGUUCUUUUUGUGAAAUCAAAC